AACUAAUGCUGGUGGUAUGCUUAACACAUGCAAGUCGAACGAACUUUAUUGAGCUUGCUCUUUAAAGUUAGUGGCAAACGGGUGAGUAAUGUAUAAGAAUCUACCUAGCAGUAAGGAAUAACUUCGGGAAACUGAAGCUAAUACCAUAUAUUACCGUUUAUUCGGGAAAGAUUUAUCGCUGUUAGAUGAGCUUAUAUCAGAUUAGCUAGUUGGUAGGGUAAUGGCCUACCAAGGCAAUGAUCUGUAGCUGGUCUGAGAGGAUGACCAGUCACACUGGGACUGCGACACGGCCCAGACUCCUACGGGAGGCAGCAGUGGGGAAUAUUGGACAAUGGGCGCAAGCCUGAUCCAGCAAUACCACGUGAAUGAUGAAGGCCUUAGGGUUGUAAAAUUCUUUUAGUAGGGAAGAUAAUGACGGUACCUACAGAAAAAGCACCGGCUAACUUCG
rnacentral:rRNA from 1 species